GAUAUAUUAUUCUUGCGUGUGCAAAGUUAGUUGUACACUAGUACGAGUAGGUACGCUAAUAGUACCGUACGUUCGCCUUUUGUCAAGUACAAAAACUUGUGUCACCUGUUUCAAUACGCAUUGCAAUAACGCGCAUACGGAGACUUUAGCACUUGGCUGUGAAUUGGUGGUUGAAAGUAUAGCGCCAGAGGGCCAUUCGGUUAAAAAUGUGUUUCAGGAUGCAUAUUCUGGGUAUAGAUAUUGUACACUCUCUUACAGGCCCGAAAUUAUGGAUUACUGUUAUGUAUAUUACGCGUGAAAAGGUGCAGAAAAAUAAAUAAAAAAUAUUUAGUUGAGUUACUGAUGCUAAGUGGGAAUUUUUUCGUGCUUAUACACAGCGUGACACAUAAGUUUUUUCUUGCAUAUAAUUCGGCGUUAUAUUUUUUUUUAAUACUUAUGGUGUACAGGAAUUGCUUGAUCCGUCAAUCUUCUCUCAACGAAAUAUUGUGGAAUAUUGCAAUAGUUAUUUGUUCUGAGAAAUUAGACGCAAGAAAGUUUAAAAUCCGUGAACGUGCAAGCUUCGACUUAAUUCAUCAUGAAAAACGAACGAACAACUCGCACAGUUUGGACUGCAGACUUUUAUCCGAGGCCAGGAAAAAGUUUCUGUACACCUUGAAGACUAGCCUGGAGGCUGUGAUGAGUAAUGUGCUCGGAUUAUGUACACAAUCGCCUCAAGGUUUCUAACAAUAAAAGUUUAUAUCAAUA
rnacentral:lncRNA from 1 species